rnacentral:rRNA from 1 species
GAUGAACGCUGGCGGCGUGCUUAACACAUGCAAGUCGAACGAAGCACUUUAUUUGAUUUCCUUCGGGACUGAUUAUUUUGUGACUGAGUGGCGGACGGGUGAGUAACGCGUGGGUAACCUGCCUUGUACAGGGGGAUAACAGUUGGAAACGGCUGCUAAUACCGCAUAAGCGCACAGCAUCGCAUGAUGCAGUGUGAAAAACUCCGGUGGUAUAAGAUGGACCCGCGUUGGAUUAGCUAGUUGGUGAGGUAACGGCCCACCAAGGCUACGAUCCAUAGCCGACCUGAGAGGGUGACCGGCCACAUUGGGACUGAGACACGGCCCAAACUCCUACGGGAGGCAGCAGUGGGGAAUAUUGCACAAUGGGCGAAAGCCUGAUGCAGCGACGCCGCGUGAGCGAAGAAGUAUUUCGGUAUGUAAAGCUCUAUCAGCAGGGAAGAUAAUGACGGUA